UACGCACUCCUACGGGAGGCAGCAGUGGGGAAUAUUGCACAAUGGGCGCAAGCCUGAUGCAGCCAUGCCGCGUGUAUGAAGAAGGCCUUCGGGUUGUAAAGUAUUUCAGCAGUGAGGAAGGUGGAUAUGUUAAUAGCAUAUUCAUUUGACGUUAGCUGCAGAAGAAGCACCGGCUAACUCCGUGCCAGCAGCCGCGGUAAUACGGAGGGUGCGAGCGUUAAUCGGAAUUACUGGGCGUAAAGCGCAUGCAGGUGGUUUGUUAAGUCAGAUGUGAAAGCCCGGGGCUCAACCUCGGAAUUGCAUUUGAAACUGGCAAACUAGAGUACUGUAGAGGGGGUAGAAUUUCAGGUGUAGCGGUGAAAUGCGUAGAGAUCUGAAGGAAUACCGGUGGCGAAGGCGGCCCCCUGGACAGAUACUGACACUCAGAUGCGAAAGCGUGGGGAGCAAACAGGAUUAGAUACCCUGGUAG
rnacentral:rRNA from 1 species